AUGACAAAAUUUUCAUGAGUCAUUGAAAGUACUGUGGGGCCUGGGCUCUGCCGACCGUGCCUAAAGGAUUUAGACCUGCGUGCACACGAAUAUGAAAUUAAAAAGCAUGGUUAUCCGAGUAGGAAAUAAAAUUACCCACAUACACAGACAUAGGCACACGCAGUGCUCACACGAAAUCCCCUACAAUUACGAGGACGGUAAACGGGCUGUGCAAGCCGGGCGUCCUGCGCGGCCACUGCGAGGGUCUCCUCGGCCACUGGGCAGCGAGGCCGGGCCAGCUCGGAAACCGCCGGAGAGGAGGCCGACCAGGGAAGCUGCUGCCCCGCGGCUCGGUCCGCGCACCGCUCGGUUCCGCGCUCUCAUCUGCGGACGGCCCGCUGGAUUGUUGCGAACGUCCAGCGGCCGCGAGGCGAGGCCGGAUCGCCACGGUUUGCGCAGCAGAAAGGGACGAAACGGGAAACAGCCUGCCGGCGGCGACGCCACCAACCGAGAAAACGAACGACCCCACCGCGGAGCCCGAAAAACGAAACGUGGCGCAGGCGCAACGUGAGGCUCGCUGGGGGCGGGACGCGUGCCGCGGAAACGGCCCAAUCAGGGGGCGUCAUGGACGGGCGUUGCAGGAAGGCCCACUGAGGGAACCAGCGUGGGGGGCGCGGCAGGACAGACCAAUGAGAAAGCCGGCGUGUGGGGGCGUCGCAGGACGGGCCAAUGAGAGAGCCGCCGUGGGGGCGUGGCUAUGAGACUGGCUGUGCGGAGGCGGGGCCUGCCGGGCCACAGGGUCAUUUCCAUGCCUGUGUGGACGUGGAGGAUGCAGGACCGUCGCUGCGAAUUUUUAGGACUUUCCAGUUCCAGUUUAGACCUGAAUGUGACGGGUUUGUGUUGCUGUUUGGCAUUCGUAAUUCAAGAAAAUCCUUUCUUCUGGUUGAAAGCACGGUGUGAUUCCCUGGCCUUCCUGCAUCAGCAUCACCUGGAUAAUACAACCGGCAAAUAACCGGAUCCUGCUACAGAUCUGGUGCUGGAAGUGACACCUCAAAUGUCAGCUGAGCUAACCCAAGCUGCUUACCUUCAAGAUCGUUACCAGAGCCAAAACAGUGCUCAGGCUUUUCCCGCUCAGACUUCGAUGCCAGAAGAUAAAGUGAAAAAUAAAUGUGUGUCUAAAAAGGA